UGAUGAGUCCGGGGUUCGGAUUCGUAUUGAGCAGGGGAUCAGCUUCUUGAAGGGCAUGUUUCAUAUCCUUGAUGCACCCCUUCUUCUACAGCCCCUGAAGUCUCUGCAAGAUGUUGUCUGUAGGUUGGGAGGAGAAGAUUGGAGGUGUGAUCCGCCUUGCAAAAGGCUGGGCGGGGAAAGGUUUGUAGCUGUUCCGUAUUUGUGAAUAACAAUGGUCAAGUGUCUGAUUAGGAAAGUUAAUGUGUUGGUGGUAUUUCGUCAAAAUGUUCCUCAUAUUAGCCCUAUUGAAGUCACCAACAACAAUAGAAGCUGCCACGUGGUGAGCGUCCUACUCAAUAUAGGUCGUAUAGGUCCUCUAGCACGUGCAUUUAAUCCGC
ensembl:lncRNA